rnacentral:rRNA from 1 species
UACAGAAGCCUCAAGCGUUACCCGGAAUCACUGGGCGUAAAGGGUGUGUAGGUGGUGUAGUUAGUCGGGCGUCAAAUCUUCAGGCUCAACCUGGAGCUCGCGUUCGAAACGGCUACACUGGAGGAAAUGAGAGGUGUGUGGAACUCAAGGUGUAGGGUGAAAUCCGUUGAUGAUCUUGGGGAACACCAAAAGCGAAGGCAGCACACUGGACAUUUCCUGACAC